AAAGGGGAGGACUUCUGCCGACAGAAGCCUUUAAUUUUUCUAAGGUUGACCUCGGAUCAGGUAGGGAUACCCGCUGAACUUAAGCAUAUCAAUAAGCGGAGGAAAAGAAACCAACAGGGAUUGCCCUAGUAACGGCGAGUGAAGCGGCAACAGCUCAAAUUUGAAAGCUGGCCUUCGGGUCCGCAUUGUAAUUUGUAGAGGAUGCUUUGGGGCAGCCGCCUGUCUAAGUUCCUUGGAACAGGACGUCAUAGAGGGUGAGAAUCCCGUAUGUGACAGGACAUGGCACCCUAUGUAAAGCUCCUUCGACGAGUCGAGUUGUUUGGGAAUGCAGCUCUAAAUGGGAGGUAAAUUUCUUCUAAAGCUAAAUACCGGCGAGAGACCGAUAGCGCACAAGUAGAGUGAUCGAAAGAUGAAAAGCACUUUGGAAAGAGAGUUAAAAAGCACGUGAAAUUGUUGAAAGGGAAGCGCUUGCAAUCAGACUUGUUUUGACUGUUCGGCCGGUCUUCUGACCGGUUUACUCAGUCUGGACAGGCCAGCAUCAGUUUUGGCGGCCGGAUAAAGGCCUAGGGAAUGUGGCUCCCGCUUCGGUGGGAGUGUUAUAGCCCUGGGUGUAAUACGGCCAGCCGGGACUGAGGU
rnacentral:rRNA from 1 species